rnacentral:tRNA from 1 species
GGGAACGUAGUUUAAUCGGUAAAACGGUGGUCUCCAAAACCACAGUAGGAGGUUCGAAACCUCCCGGUCCUG